rnacentral:rRNA from 1 species
GUCGUGACAGGGUAACCGUAAGCUUGCUUCUAAAUAACCUAGCGGCGGACGGGUGAGUAACACGUAGGCAACCUGCCCACAAGACAGGGAUAACUACCGGAAACGGUAGCUAAUACCCGAUACAUCCUUUUCCUGCAUGGGUGAAGGAGGAAAGGCGGAGCAAUCUGUCACUUGUGGAUGGGCCUGCGGCGCAUUAGCUAGUUGGUGGGGUAAUGGCCUACCAAGGCGACGAUGCGUAGCCGACCUGAGAGGGUGAUCGGCCACACUGGGACUGAGACACGGCCCAGACUCCUACGGGAGGCAGCAGUAGGGAAUCUUCCGCAAUGGGCGAAAGCCUGACGGAGCAACGCCGCGUGAGUGAUGAAGGUUUUCGGAUCGUAAAGCUCUGUUGCCAGGGAAGAACGUCUUGUAGAGUAACUGCUACAAGAGUGACGGUACCUGAGAUGAAAAGCCCCGGCUAACUACGUGCCAGCAGCCGCGGUAAUACGUAGGGGGC